rnacentral:rRNA from 1 species
GACGAACGCUGGCGGCGUGCUUAACACAUGCAAGUCGAACGGAAAGGCCCUGCUUUUGUGGGGUGCUCGAGUGGCGAACGGGUGUGUAACACGUGUGUAACCUGCCUUUGACUUUGGGAUAAUUUCAGGAAACUGGGGCUAAUACCGGAUAGGAGCCCCUGAUGCAUGGUGGGGGUUGGAAAGUUUCGGCGGUUGGGGAUGGACUCGCGGCUUAUCAGCUUGUUGGUGGGGUAGUGGCUUACCAAGGCUUUGACGGGUAGCCGGCCUGAGAGGGUGGACGGCCACAUUGGGACUGAGAUACGGCCCAGACUCCUACGGGAGGCAGCAGUGGGGAAUAUUGCACAAUGGGCGGAAGCCUGAUGCAGCAACGCCGCGUGCGGGAUGACGGCCUUCGGGUUGUAAACCGCUUUCGCCUGUGACGAAGCGUGAGUGACGGUAAUGGGUAAAGAAGCACCGGCUAACUACGUG